rfam:Rhodococcus pyridinivorans SB3094, complete genome.
UUGCACUGUUCGUAGCGACGUAGGGAACAACGGUGCGAAUCCGUGGCUGUCCCGCAACUGUCACCGAGGAGUGAUCCCCCAACAGCAUGGUCACGGCCCACAGGGGUUGGAAGGCCGGGGCGAGCGUCGAUCCGGGAGCCAGGACACCUGCGUCGCCGAAGCAGGACCC